AUCCAGCUGAUGAGUCUCAAAUAAGACGAAAUGCUAGUUCUGGAU
rnacentral:hammerhead_ribozyme from 1 species